GAUUAAAUGGCUGAUAAAAGCGGUAAACUGUAAAUUUAUAUAUAAGAAUUAAAUUUCUUUUUAAUCA
rnacentral:tRNA from 1 species